AGCCGGCUAGCUCAGUUGGUAGAGUGUGAGACUGUUAAUCCCAGGGUCGUGGGUUCGAAUCCCAUGCUGGGCG